GCUAUUUUAUAUAUAUCCCGUGGAAACCUAUUAUCCAACACCGGAGAGGCGGACCUAUCUCCCCAGCAUUAAAGAACAACGCACAUCUGAGUAGGUCCUAGCCUACAUCAAAGGAAUUCCAAGCCGGAUAGACGGACCAACCAUCUAAGUACAUCCGAUAGUGGGGAUUAAACCACUAAGUGCCUCUUCUCCUAGAGCUGGUUAGAG